rnacentral:rRNA from 1 species
AUGAAGCCCUUCGGGGUGGAUUAGUGGCGAACGGGUGAGUAACACGUGGGCAAUCUGCCCUGCACUCUGGGACAAGCCCUGGAAACGGGGUCUAAUACCGGAUAUGACCGUCCAUCGCAUGGUGGAUGGUGUAAAGCUCCGGCGGUGCAGGAUGAGCCCGCGGCCUAUCAGCUAGUUGGUGAGGUAGUGGCUCACCAAGGCGACGACGGGUAGCCGGCCUGAGAGGGCGACCGGCCACACUGGGACUGAGACACGGCCCAGACUCCUACGGGAGGCAGCAGUGGGGAAUAUUGCACAAUGGGCGAAAGCCUGAUGCAGCGACGCCGCGUGAGGGAUGACGGCCUUCGGGUUGUAAACCUCUUUCAGCAGGGAAGAAGCGAAAGUGACGGUACCUGCAGAAGAAGCGCCGGCUAACUACGUGCCAGCAGCCGCGGUAAUACGUAGGGCGCAAGCGUUGUCCGGAAUUAUUGGGCGUAAAGAGCUCGUAGGCGGCUUGUCACGUCGGUUGUGAAAGCCCGGGGCUUAACCCCGGGUCUGCAGUCGAUACGGGCAGGCUAGAGUUCGGUAGGGGAGAUCGGAAUUCCUGGUGUAGCGGUGAAAUGCGCAGAUAUCAGGAGGAACACCGGUGGCGAAGGCGGAUCUCUGGGCCGAUACUGACGCUGAGGAGCGAAAGCGUGGGGAGCGAACAGGAUUAGAUACCCUGGUAGUCCACGCCGUAAA